rnacentral:guide_RNA from 1 species
AUAUAUACACAAUAAUAUGGUAGGUGAAGAUACGAGAAUAAUGAUAUCAU